rnacentral:lncRNA from 1 species
CUUACACGGUGUACGAUCCAUUAGGUUCCUUUUAGCGAGGCAGUUGGCGAUUAAAACUCUUUCAAAUCGAUUGUGAAUUGAAACUUACUUUCAAUUUUCCCUUUAGUGAUUAUACACGUUUAGGGCUUCCACAAACCAUGUGAUUUGGAACACCUUCCUAAAUCUCAUUCAUACUUUGGCCAAAGAUUCUUAAUCAUAUCAUAGAGUAUUCUCCCUCAAACGGUUUGAAGGUUAGAGCUCCCUUGUUGCGCAUUCACUUGCCUCCAUGGCUAAGUAGCUUAACCCCAACGAUGCCAUGGACACCCGCGAAUGGGGUGACUUUGACAUAAUCAAAGAUCAAGGACCUAACCACAAGACAAAUGUUAUGCCUCAGGUCAAAGGACUAAUUUGCAUUAUCCCAACAAUGAGUUCUCAUGUGACAUGAAUAUGAGAACUCUUCGUUGAUCGUGUUCAGUGAACUCAUUCUCUAUUGAGCACC